GUGAGGGGUUGGGAUGGGAUUAGGGUGACUUAGUUUGGGGGGGGGGUUAGUUGAUGGGGUGUACACGGGUUUGGAAUGUGGUUUGGGGUUAAAAUUCCGGUGGGGAUUGGGUUAGGUCUGGAUUGCUGCUCAGGAAAGUGGAUUGAGUUAGUUUUUAACAGUGUUGUAGGUUUGGGAAGUUUAGAGUGGGUUAGGUGUGUAAAUGUUGUAGGAAUGUGUCCCUGAUAAAAGUGGAAACAUCGGAUGAAAAUGUUAUUGAGAGGUUGGAGUGGAUAGCGAGGGAUAUAUUGAUGUUAUGAUAGCUUUGUAAUGGCAGAGUUUGGGGCAGAAGUUUUUUGCCACAACAUUUUUCGUUCUUUGAAAGGU